CUCCUGAUGAUAUACACUGUAAAAAAUUACUGAUGCAAAAAGUUGUACAAAUGAGGAAAUACAUGUUGGCUCAACAUAAUGGUUGUGUCAAAAAAGAAAAAUAUGUUUGGUCAAUGAUUGCAUGAUUUCCAUGACUGUACUACAAAAUGUUCAUCAAGAGAAAAUAAAUAAUUGUGUUGACAGAACUUUUAACGUUGCACAAAAAAUAUUAUGUUGGCCGAGCAAGAGGGAACAGCGUCAAUCGUCUGAGCAUGCGCAAAGGAGUUCUACCAGGCGCCUCCUGGAAUUUCCCCCACCACGAGUCACGACAUUGCAGUGACCACAGAUCUAACUUAUAGAAGGUCUGCUGUUCUUCGUGGUCUUCCCCUGUACUUGAGAGAGAGCCAGCUUCAAUUUCAAAGACUAUUAAGAUAAUUAAUUUGAAUAUCUUUAUUAUGGUAUUACUGUUUGUGAUGCAGUAGUGAUUGCAUAAGACAUUAUGCUUUCAGUCUGACACAAAAAGUCAUUUAUUGAGUUUCACAGGAUACUGAGGCACUGGGGCCACACACAAAGGCCAUGAAAAUGGGGAUCCUGGAAGUGACUGACAGUUCUACCAACUCAGGACCAUAUCCCACAGUGGUCAAUGUGGCUGUAGUACUGGAGGAGAAAGUUGUCAUGGACAAUCUGGGAGACUUCACAAAAGAGUGCACAGCAAGGAUACAGUCCUUGAAAAACAAGUUAUUACAGGUGUAAUGGUCAUUACAUGUCAGUCAUUGAGGUAUUUUGAGGUAUCAAAGGUUUCAUGCAAAAGUUUCUGUUAAUGCCAGUGACUUUUUUUUGUUGAAUUUUUGUAACUGCUCAGGAACUUGUUGAUUACUUUUUUCAAAUGUUUACAGGCAAAGCUGUUGUCAUGUUUUACUGAGUUUCAUUUUGUAAAGCAGAUAUUUGUUUUUCCAGUACAACUAUUGACUAAGAGUGAUAUGUCAUGCUUUCUUGAACUCUCAGAUCUUGUUUCGGCACUGGUUGAAUACUUGUGUAAUAUUUUACUUGAGCCUAACAGGCAAGUUCAUAUGUAUUUAAAUAAAUACAUAAAAUGUUCU
ensembl:lncRNA